ensembl:lncRNA
GAAGAUGUUUUGUAAGCUAAUGAUACAUUCUUUCUAUGUUCUCAUCUAGGUAUGGAAUUUGGAAGCAGAGUGACUUUGGUAUGAAUAAGCCAGAGUGACAAACCAGAAUUACCUGAACUAAACUGCUUCCUCUGUGCGAGGAGAAUGGGGGAAAUAUUCAUCGGAAAGGUGGUUCUUCGAAUGAAAUCAGAUUACAUAGACAACGUAUUAGGUCAUGUUUAAGGCAUUAUUUGUGCCGGUAAAGUACCCAAUGACACAAAUAAUGAAUUCAUUUUUGAAGAAGGAAAGAGUUUUGAAAGAGGAUUGAGGACACUGGUGCGAUUCCUUGCUCUGGAACCUCAAAAACCUAGAGAGAGUGCAAUUAUCUGAACAUGGUCACAAGAUGUGAAAGACCCGAAGAUCUUAGAGGGAUGAUGGAGCACAAAAAAGUGAGAAGCCCAGGAUCUGAAAAUUAUAUGUGGAGGAAAGCCACCUCCUGAUCGGUAACACCUGCAUUGUUAUAUGAAUUACAAAUAAAGUUUCACUG